AUGUGGAGGCUAUAUACAGGGUGUACCGGUACAGAGUCAAUGUGGAGGCUAUAUACAGGGUGCACCGGUACAGAGUCAAUGUGGAGGCUAUAUACAGGGGGUACCGGUACAGAGUCAAUGUGGAGGCUAUAUACAGGGGGUACCGGUACAGAGUCAAUGUGGAGGCUAUAUACAGGGAGGUACAGGUACAGAGUCAAUGUGGAGGCUAUAUACAGGGGGUACCGGUACAGAGUCAAUGUGGAGGCUAUAUACAGGGGUAUUACGGUACAGAGUCAAUGUGGAGGCUAUAUACAGGGGGUACCGGUACAGAGUCAAUGUGGAGGCUAUAUACAGGGGGUACCGGUACAGAGUCAAUGUGGAGGCUAUAUACAGGGUAUUACGGUACAGAGUCAAUGUGGAGGCUAUAUACAGGGUAUUACGGUACAGAGUCAAUGUGGAG
ensembl:lncRNA